UACGGGGGGAGCAAGCGUUUGUUCGGAUUUACUGGGCGUAAAGGGCGCGUAGGCGGUCGUGACAAGUCACUUGUGAAAUCUCCGGGCUUAACUCGGAACGGUCAAGUGAUACUGUCGGACUAGAGUACAGAAGGGGGCAACUGGAAUUCUCGGUGUAGCGGUGAAAUGCGUAGAUAUCGAGAGGAACACCUGCGGCGAAGGCGGGUUGCUGGGCUGAUACUGACGCUGAGGCGCGGAAAGCCAGGGGAGCGAACGGG
rnacentral:rRNA from 1 species